rnacentral:lncRNA from 1 species
GGAUUUAAUUAAAUUAAAUAGGUUUGAUCUAAAAUUGUUCAGAUCUUGAAAUCCACUUGUCACAUAUCCAUACAUGGUGCCAUAAAUUGAUUUUUAAUAUGAUUAAAAAUUAAUUUAAUUUAUUUAAUGGUGCCAUGGGACACUUGGCAACAUCAGGGACCUCUUUCAUCAUCAGAUGGGGUGACAUGGAGAGAUAAUUUCAUGAAAAGAAUUGGAUAAGAUCAAAUUCUCUCUCUUCAUGGCAUAUGUCAUCCUUAUCUUUAUCUCACUUCUAAUUAAGGUUGAAUUUCGAAUUUAAUCACCACAAAAUCACCACGUGACCCUCUAAUCUGAUUGUGGGCAUGGGAAUUUCGAAAUGGAGUGAGGGAAUGGGCGACAUGAUGAAGGGCUUGGAUGUGAUCAAUCCUUUAUCAUGUGAUGGCGCAUGAAGCUAUGUUUGAAUUUUGAAUUCAAAAUAUAACUUAACUCCACAAAAUCUUGAUUGUUGGCGUGUGAAGAGGAGUAGAGUUAGAGUAUAAGAGGGGGUUAUCAGAUGGUAGUCGAAUUCAAGGAAAAAAGAGAGAAAAAGGAAAAAGGAGAAAAGAAAAAGAAAGAAAGAAGAAACUAGUUCAUCUUCCAACUUGCCAUUUGAUCUUCUACUAAGUCCUUCACGCCAUUAGUGUUAGGGUCCUGAUAAGAGUCUUUAGAUCAGAUCUAAGUCCUCUUCAAUCCCUCUAAACCUUUCUCCAAGUUUUUCCAAGAAGGUGGAUCAAAAGUUGAUAGCAUUGGGAAAAUCAAAUUUCAGCCUCAAGAAAUUCUGCGCAAGCUAGCACUUCCGCAGGAUUGGAUCUCUCCAGAAACUUCGCGUGUACUUCUCGUAGAGGCCAUUCGCGUACGUGGCUGCGAAGUCGAGGAUCAGAUCCACAAGUUUCAUCCAUCAUAAAAGAUAUUAAUCCUACAUUAAUCUUUUAUUUUGGUGUUAGGGUCUAGAUCCGAUUCUCCGAGGUUUUACCCUCCUUUGGGGCUCCUCACGGAGAUAUCUCCAAAAUCCAUUCGAUGGAUAUUCGGAAAUUAAUCGGAAUAGAAUGUUUAACUUUCAGAUCUAAUAGUUAAUGAUGCAUAAAGUUUUAGCAUAAUUGUUUAAACGAUUCCGGCAUAAUUCUAUGUGUUCUUACAGUGCUGAUUUCUAGAUUUGAUCUUAUAAGCAUAUACGAAUUAAAUUGUUUNNNNNNNNNNNNNNNNNNNNUCGCGUGUACUUCUCGUAGAGGCCAUUCGUGUACGUGGCUGCAAAGUCGAGGAUCAGAUCCACAAGUUUCAUCCAUCAUAAAAGAUAUUAAUCCUACAUUAAUCUUUUAUUUUGGUGUUAGGGUCUAGAUCCGAUUCUCCGAGGUUUUACCCUCCUUUGGGGCUCCUCACGGAGAUAUCUCCAGAAUCCAUUCGAUGGAUAUUCGGAGAUUAAUCGGAAUAGAAUGUUUAACUUUCAGAUCUAAUAGUUAAUGAUGCAUAAAGUUUUAGCAUAAUUGUUUAAACGAUUCCGGCAUAAUCCUAUGUGUUCUUACAGUGCUGAUUUCUAGAUUUGAUCUUAUAAGCAUAUACGAAUUAAAUUGUUUGAUUCGAUUUUUUCGCUACAUUUUUGAAACUUAAAAAAAAACUAUAUAUGACUUGAUCCCCCUUAUGAAGGGGUACGUAGGCAACCCGAUCAGGUUCAGUGGUUUUUUU